GACGAACGCUGGCGGCGUGCUUAACACAUGCAAGUCGAACGGUGAAGCGCCUUCCUUUUUGGUGGGUGUGGAUGAGUGGCGAACGGGUGAGUAACACGUGAGUAACCUGCCCCCUUCUUCUGGAUAACCGCAUGAAAGUGUGGCUAAUACGGGAUAUUCUGGGUCUGUCGCAUGAUGGGUCUGGGAAAGAUAUUGUUUCGGUGGGGGAUGGGCUCGCGGCCUAUCAGCUUGUUGGUGGGGUGAUGGCCUACCAAGGCGGUGACGGGUAGCCGGCCUGAGAGGGUGGACGGUCACACUGGGACUGAGACACGACCCAGACUCCGACGGGAGGCAGCAGUGGGGAAUAUUGCACAAUGGGCGCAAGCCUGAUGCAGCGACGCCGCGUGAGGGAUGGAGGCCUUCGGGUUGUGAACCUCUUUCGCCAGUGAAGCAGGCCUGCCUCGUUUGUGGGUGGGUUGACGGUAGCUGGAUAAGAAGCGCCGGCUAACUACGUG
rnacentral:rRNA from 1 species